UGCUGGUGAUGAAACUGCCUCACUCUGAGCACUGGGCCUUGCCUGGGGUAAGCCAGGGGCCAUAGCUGUCUGUCCCACUAUGCCUGAAUACAGCA